UGGGAGCUCCCAGCUCUCUGCUCAGACAGGGCUGAGGUCUCUGGGAAGGCAGGUGUGGUCUAGAAGAUGAGGCUGGUGGGUCUUGUCCUGUGCCUGGUCACAGCCCCCCAAGGUGUCCUGUGCCAGGUGCAGCUACAGGAGUCAGGACCUGGCCUGGUGAAGCCCUCACAGACCCUGUCCCUCACCUGUGCUGUCUCUGGUUACUCCAUCACCAGUAGUUCCUGCUGGAGCUGGAUCCGGCAACCCCCAGGGAAGGGGCUGGAGUGGUUAGGUUGCAUAUGGUAUGAUGGUGAUACUAGGUACAGCUCAUCACUCAAGAGCCGAGUGUCCAUAUCCAGAGACACAUCCAAGAACCAGUUCUCCCUGCAGCUGAGCUCCCUGACCACCCAGGACACAGCCACCUAUUACUGUGCCAGAGACACAGUG